GUUUGUUGGAAGUCCACACCCCCUACGACUUAAAGGAGCGCUACACGGAAUCUGUCAAUCAAACGUUCAGCGCAGGACGGCUUCAUUUUCUUGAGGCUUCUGACUGCGUGCUUCCACCCGGCUGUGAAGAACGGAGCCGGAAUCCUAGAAAAGCUUUUCAAAUCUUCAGAAUAGAAGUAGCAUUGUUGGAGUGGAGAAGCACGCUCUCCGCCAGAGCACAUCAAUGGAACAUCAACGUUCUCGGGUUUAAGGAGGGUCUUUGGAGGCCUUUGAAAUUGCAGGAACCCAGAUCAUGACAUCAUGGUUUAUCAGAGCCUGAUCAGCAGGAGCUCAUGGGCUCUCAAAGGCUGUUUUGUCUUCCUUCGCCACGAACCCCCCAGGUCCCACAGGUGAGGAGAAACGCAUCAGGUUGAACUGCAUCUUUACAUUCUGUGGACUUUUCCUCACUUUUGAGGCUGCGUGUUCUCAGCACAAAGGUAAUGAGGCCGGGAAUCCUUCCAGUGAGCUCUGCAGCAGCAGGUUCCUCGUCCUUUGUGUCUAAUAUACUUACAACAGUAAAGAAAAUCCCCUCUUCAGACGGACUUUUGUCUCUCGUCUUCACACAACGGUGCUGGUGCCAAGACAUGAGAGGACAAGAAGGCCUGUGUAGUCAUGAAACCUUAGACGCUGGACCGGCAACAUGUGUCCAAAAAACGCCUCUAA